rnacentral:rRNA from 1 species
UACGUAGGGGCGAGCGUUGUCCGGAUUUACUGGGUGUAAAGGGCGUGUAGGCGGGUUUGCAAGUCGGGUGUGAAAUAUCCAGGCUUAACUUGGAUGGGUCAUCCGAAACUGCAGAUCUUGAGUGCUGGAGAGGAUAGUGGAAUUCCUGGUGUAGCGGUAAAAUGCGUAGAUAUCAGGAGGAACACCAGUGGCGAAGGCGGCUAUCUGGACAGUAACUGACGCUGAGGCGCGAAAGCGUGGGUAGCAAACAGGAUUAGAUACCCU